rnacentral:rRNA from 1 species
GAUCCGGGGAUGUCCGAAUGGGGAAACCUAGCACCAGUCAUGUGGUGUUGCCUCCGCCUGAAUGUAUAGGGCGGUUGGUGGUAACGCGGGGAAGUGAAACAUCUCAGUACCCGUAGGAAAAGAAAACAAAUAGUGAUUCCGUGAGUAGUGGUGAGCGAAAGCGGAAGAGGCUAAACCGUGCGCGUGUGAUAGCCGGCGGGCGUUGCGUGUGCGGGGUUGUGGGAUCCUUCUGGGCGGUCCGCUGAUCGUUCGGGGAGUGAGAAAUCCAUGUGAUAGUCGAACGCUCUGGGAAGGGCGGCCGUAGACCGUGAUAGCCGGGUAGGUGAAAUCGGAUGGACUCCCGAGGGUGUUCCCGAGUAGCACGGGGCUCGAGAAAUCCUGUGUGAAUCUGCCAGGACCACCUGGUAAGCCUAAAUACUUCCUGAUGACCGAUAGUGAACGAGUACCGUGAGGGAAAGGUGAAAAGCGCCCCGGUGAGGGGUCGUGAAAUAGUACCUGAAACCGUGUGCCUACAAGCCGUAGGAGCGUAAACGGGUUCGCCCGUUUGUGAUGUGACUGCGUGCCUUUUGAAGAAUGAGCCUGCGAGUUAUGGUGUGUGGCGAGGUUAACCCGUGUGGGGGAGCCGUAGCGAAAGCGAGUCUGAAUAGGGCGUUUGAGUCGCAUGCUGUAGACCCGAAGCGGGGUGAUCUACGCAUGGGCAGGUUGAAGCGUGGGUAAGACUGCGUGGAGGACCGAACCCACCAGGGUUGAAAACCUGGGGGAUGACCUGUGUGUAGGGGUGAAAGGCCAAUCAAACUCCGUGAUAGCUGGUUCUCCCCGAAAUGCAUUUAGGUGCAGCGUUGCGUGUUGCUUGCCGGAGGUAGGGCUCUGGAUGGCUGAUGGGCCCGACAAGGUUACUGACGUCAGCCAAACUUCGAAUGCCGGUAAGUUGAGCGUGGCAGUGAGACUGCGGGGGAUAAGCUCCGUGGUCGAGAGGGAAACAGCCCAGAUCACCGACUAAGGCCCCUAAGCGUGUGCU